rnacentral:lncRNA from 1 species
CUCCCCGGCCUCUGCGCACCUCAGCCCGGUCCACACCUGCCACCCACGCCACCGGGCCCCGGACCCCGCGCCCCUCCACCUCUGCCCUCUCCACAGAAACUCACCGAAGGAGAUGGACGCCAGCGCUCCUCCCGGGGUUGCCACCACGGCUGCGGCGGGCGGCCCGGAGGCCGGCCUAACCUGAGCUGACGGCGGGCCGCUCGGGUUAACUAGCUGGGCGGUUGGCUUAGAUGCUUAAACGGUAGGAUGUGAGGCUUCCUCGUUGUGGGUUGAGUAUCUAGCUGACCGAUCCUCCCGCUCGUCAAGCCUGCCCUUUCCUGCCUUUCGUCUGGGCCCCCAGAGCCGGCGCCGCCAACUCCCGCUUGGUGUCCAAAACAAAAUGGCCGCCGGGCCCACCAGUGCAGCGUGACCGGCUAAAAUGGCGCCGACGGGCUUGCGUCAGUGCGCGCGCAACUAGGGGCGUGGCAACAUGGUCCUUUGGCCUAGCGCAAGAAUCGCAGCGAAUCCCCACUGACUUUGGCAAAGAUCCCUUAAGUUACGUGUAGUGCUCCGCCUUCGGGGGCGUGGCCAGUGGCCGUAAUCGCUAAGUACCUCUAGACUACCUUCUGGACAAGUUUAUGCCCCACUUUGGUGGGAUUUUUGGCUUGCAAAUAGCAGCUUAGAUUGGCAACAGUGUUUGUAUCCUUUUAUUUCCCAUUCCCAAGCUAAAGACAACUGUAAAAAGUCUUUAUUAGGACCUUGAGACCUGGCUAAUUUGCUCAGGCCCUCAAACCUAUUUGUAGAGUUUCUGUUUCUUUUUGAGGCAGGCUUCCUUUGUGUAGACCAGACUGGCUUCGAACUCACAAAGAUCCACCUCCUGACCCCCCCUAACCCCGCCCCUCCCAGUACUGGGAUUUAAGACCCACACUGGACUCAUCUACAUCCUUUUAUAGGGACUGCCUCUAGAAGAUGUGGCUAGUUUUAGGGUGGGUCUUUUUACCUCAAGUAAUCCAAUAAAGCAAAUCUGUAUCCCCACUUAUGUAUCCCUAGUUCUUACAUAAUGUCUAGCAAUGAUGAGGCAUCAAUAAACACUGAAUGAAGCUUGGGAAAAAGUUCU